rnacentral:rRNA from 1 species
UAGGGAAUCUUCGGCAAUGGACGAAAGUCUGACCGAGCAACGCCGCGUGAGUGAAGAAGGUUUUCGGAUCGUAAAACUCUGUUGUUAGAGAAGAACAAGGACGUUAGUAACUGAACGUCCCCUGACGGUAUCUAACCAGAAAGCCACGGCUAACUACGUGCCAGCAGCCGCGGUAAUACGUAGGUGGCAAGCGUUGUCCGGAUUUAUUGGGCGUAAAGCGAGCGCAGGCGGUUUCUUACGUCUGAUGUGAAAGCCCCCGGCUCAACCGGGGAGGGUCAUUGGAAACUGGGAGACUCGGGUGCAGAAGAGGAGAGUGGAAUUCCAUGUGGAGCGGUGAAAUGCGUAGAUAGAUGGAGGAACACCAGUGGCGAAGGCGGCUCUCUGGUCUGUAACUAACGCUGAGGCUGGAAAGCGUGGGGAGCAAACAGG